rnacentral:rRNA from 1 species
AACGUAGGAGACAAACGUUAUCCGGAGUUACUGGGCGUAAAGGGCGUGUAGGUGGUGCUGUAAGUUCGGCGUGAAAUUUUUCGGCUUAACCGGGAAAGGUCGUCGGAUACUGCAGGACUAGAGGACGGUAGAGGCGUGUGGAAUUCCGGGUGUAGUGGUGAAAUGCGUAGAUAUCUGGAGGAACACCGGUGGCGAAGGCGGCAUCCUGGACCGAUACUGACGCUGAGGAGCGAAAGCGUGGGGAGCAAACAGG